UGGGGAAUUUUGGACAAUGGGCGCAAGCCUGAUCCAGCCAUGCCGCGUGCAGGAUGAAGGCCUUCGGGUUGUAAACUGCUUUUGUACGGAACGAAAAGACUCCUUCUAAUAAAGGGGGUCCAUGAUGGUACCGUAAGAAUAAGCACCGGCUAACUACGUG
rnacentral:rRNA from 1 species